AGAGUUUGAUCCUGGCUCAGAUUGAACGCUGGCGGAAUGCUUUACACAUGCAAGUCGAACGGCAGCACGGGAGCUUGCUCCUGGUGGCGAGUGGCGAACGGNNNNNNNNNNNNNCGGAACGUACCGAGGAAUGGGGGAUAACGCAGCGAAAGCUGUGCUAAUACCGCAUACGCCCUGAGGGGGAAAGUGGGGGAUCGUAAGACCUCACGUUAUUCGAGCGGCCGACGUCUGAUUAGCUAGUUGGUGGGGUAAAGGCCUACCAAGGCGACGAUCAGUAGCGGGUCUGAGAGGAUGAUCCGCCACACUGGAACUGAGACACGGUCCAGACUCCUACGGGAGGCAGCAGUGGGGAAUUUUGGACAAUGGGCGCAAGCCUGAUCCAGCGACGCCGCGUGAGUGAAGAAGGCCUUCGGGUUAUAAAGCUCUUUCAGCUGGAACGAAACGGUACGCACUAAUAUUGUGUGCUAAUGACGGUACCGGCAGAAGAAGCACCGGCUAACUACGUGCCAGCAGCCGCGGUAAUACGUAGGGUGCGAGCGUUAAUCGGAAUUACUGGGCGUAAAGCGUGCGCAGGCGGAUUGUUAAGCAAGAUGUGAAAUCCCCGGGCUUAACCUGGGAAUGGCAUUUUGAACUGGCAGUCUAGAGUGUGUCAGAGGGGGGUGGAAUUCCACGUGUAGCAGUGAAAUGCGUAGAUAUGUGGAGGAACACCAAUGGCGAAGGCAGCCCCCUGGGAUAACACUGACGCUCAUGUACGAAAGCGUGGGUAGCAAACAGGAUUAGAUACCCUGGUAGUCCACGCCCUAAACGAUGUCAACUGGUUGUUGGGGGAGUGAAAUCCCUUAGUAACGAAGCUAACGCGUGAAGUUGACCGCCUGGGGAGUACGGUCGCAAGGUUGAAACUCAAAGGAAUUGACGGGGGCCCGCACAAGCGGAGGAACAUGUGGUUUAAUUCGAUGAUACGCGAGGAACCUUACCUGGGCUUAAAUGUAGGCUGCAUUCGGCUGAAAGGCUGAUUCCCUUCGGCUGGAUCGGAGACAGGUGCUGCAUGGUUGUCGUCAGCUCGUGCCGUGAGGUGUCGGGUUAAGUCCCAUAACGAGCGCAACCCUUAUCGUUAGUUGCCAGCGGGUCAAGCCGGGGACUCUAGCGAGACUGCCACCGUAAGGUGUGAGGAAGGUGGGGAUGACGUCAAAUCAGCACGGCCCUUAUGUCCAGGGCUACACACGUGUUACAAUGGCCAAUACAAAGGGCAGCUACCCCGUGAGGGGAUGCUAAUCUCUAAAGUUGGUCUCAGUUCGGAUCGAAGUCUGCAACCCGACUUCGUGAAGCUGGAUUCGCUAGUAAUCGCGCAUCAGCCAUGGCGCGGUGAAUACGUUCCCGGGCCUUGUACACACCGCCCGUCAAACAAUGGAAGCUGGGGGUACCUGAAGUCUGUAACCGCAAGGAGCGGCCUAGGGUAAAACUAGUAACUGGUGUUAAGUCGUAACAAGGUAACCC
rnacentral:rRNA from 1 species